CCCAGACUCCUACGGGAGGCAGCAGUGGGGGAUAUUGCACAAUGGGGGAAACCCUGAUGCAGCGACGCCGCGUGAGUGAAGAAGUAUUUCGGUAUGUAAAGCUCUAUCAGCAGGGAAGAAAGAAGACGGUACCUGACUAAGAAGCCCCGGCUAACCACGUGCCAGCAGCCGCGGUAAUACGUAGGGGGCAAGCGUUAUCCGGAUUUACUGGGUGUAAAGGGAGCGUAGACGGCAAUACAAGUCGGAAGUGAAAUACCCGGGCUCAACCUGGGAACUGCUUUGGAAACUGUAUGGCUGGAGUGCUGGAGAGGUAAGCGGAAUUCCUAGUGUAGCGGUGAAAUGCGUAGAUAUUAGGAGGAACACCAGUGGCGAAGGCGGCUUACUGGACAGUAACUGACGUUGAGGCUCGAAAGCGUGGGGAGCAAACAGGAUUAGAUACCCCCGUAA
rnacentral:rRNA from 1 species